AUGUACAACAAUCAUCAAAGUCUUUGUAGCUUUACAUCAGUCCAUCAUCCACUUUUUCAUGGAUUUUAUUGUGGAAAAAGUGGUAUGUACAACAAUCAUCAAAGUCUUUGUAGCUUUACAUCAGUCCAUCAUCCACUUUUUCAUGGAUUUUAUUGUGGAAUAAGUGGUAUGUACAACAAUCAUCAAAGUCUUUGUAGCUUUACAUCAGUCCAUCAUCCACUUUUUCAUGGAUUUUAUUGUGGAAUAAGUGUUAGUUCUUCUUUUUUUGUUGCAACGCGUGAGAACUUGAAACGCAAUGAAAGAGUGAGUACUUGCUAAUGACGUAAAAGGAAAGCUUGACUAAUGUUUUGUUGUAAUUACCGUUAGUAUAAAUACAUGUAAAUAAUUAACUCAAAAAGAUAGCGUUAAAUACUCCAGUGAUGUACUUGUAGCUUGUUUAGCUUGUAAAAUAAAAGGUUCAAAACGAA